GGAAGCAUCAAUCCGGUCAUAAAAAGUGUCAAAAAAAAGAAAAGGAAGAAGAGUUAAUUCAAUCUCAAAGAGGGGCCAUGGACAUAUUUGUUAAAAGGAAGUCAGAAGUAUCUUCGGAUAAUCAGUCGGUUGAUCCUUCUAACCUUGCACUUGCUAUGAUUCUUUUCAGCCUGAUAUAUUUGAUCCAAGAUAUUGGGAUUCUCUUGAUUCUAAACAAAUUGACAUUUUAGCACAGAAGGGUCCAAGAAGAGACUCAUCAAUUAAGAAGGGUCCUAAAGAUAGAUACUCCAGAAGGUUUUCUGCACUAUUCUAUACUAGAGAUCUAUCAAAUGGAGAGCAAUGUGAUAGAGAUUGGCUUGUCUAUUCUAAUAAUCUCGAUAAAGUCUUCUGCUUUGGAUGUAAAAUAUUUACAAAAGGGCAUCGAAAAGGUCAGUUGGCAAAUGAGGGUUGUAAUGAUUGGACACAUCUCAGCACAAGACUAAAAGAGCAUGAGAAAAGUGUGGAUCAUGUUUUGAAUAUGACCAGAUGGUACGAGUUUCGUACUAGAUUGGAAACACAUCAAACUAUUGAUAAAGCUGCUCAGCGACAACUUGAGAAAGAAAAGGACCACUGGAGACAGGUUUUGUUCAGAAUUGUUUGUGUUGUGAAAUUUCUCGCCAAGCAUAAUCUAGCCUUUCGUGGUAGUAACGGAAAAUUGUAUGAAGAUAGCAAUGGUAAUUUCCUGGGUUUGAUAGAGAUGUUGGCUGAAUUUGACCUUGUUACUCAGGAGCAUGUUCGUCGUAUUACAAAUGAAGAAACUCAUGCGCAUUAUCUUGAUCAUAAGAUUCAGAAUGAGUUGCUACACUUGCUUGCUUCUUCUAUCAGGUAUGAAAUCAUUAAGAAAAUAAAGAGUUCAAAGUAUUUCUCUGUCAUACUUGAUUGUACCCCUGAUGCAAGUCACCAAGAGCAAAUGUCUUUAAUUAUAAGAUAUGUGGAUACAUCUUCAAAGCAUGUUUGCAUAGAAGAAUCCUUUCUAGGAUUUUUAGAUGUAAAUGAUACGACUGGGCAAGGACUAUUUGAUGUGCUAGAGAAUGAACUAAAGCUUCUUGAUCUUGAUAUAAAUGAUGUGCGAGGGCAAGGUUAUGAUAAUGGGUCAAAUAUGAAAGGAAAAAAUCAAGGGGUACAACGGAAACUUUUGAAUGUAAAUCCUAGAGCUUUCUAUUCUGCUUGUGGUUGCCAUAGCCUUAACUUGACACUUUGUGAUAUGGCCAAGACACGUGGUAGAGCUAAAGACUUCUUUGGAAUCAUCCAACGCAUCUAUACAAUUUUUUGCUAAUUCUACGAAGAAAUGGCAUAUUCUGAAAGAUAACAUAUCAGGAUGGACUCUUAAGUCAGUCUCAGCUACACGUUGGGAGAGUCGUGUUGAAAGUGUCAAUCUAUUAGAUUUCAAUGUGCAGACAUUCGAGAGGCUCUACUUCAGGUUUCCGAAACUGAUAAUGAUCCUAAGACAAGCAGAGAGGCUUUAGGUUUGGAAAAAAAUGAACUUGGAGACUAUGAAUUUAUAGUGGCAAUAGUCAUUUGGUUUGAGGUAUUGUCUGCUGUUAACUUAGUAAGCAAAAGCUUGCAAACUAAGGAUAUGCUAAUUGAUGUUGCUAUUGAGAAAGUGCAAGGUCUUAUGUCUUUUUUCGAGGGGCACAGGGAAACUGGUUUCUUAGAGGCAUUGGAGAAAGCUAAAGGAAUUGCACUUGAGUUGAAUAUUGAUGCAAAAUUUCGUGAAAAGCGGGAAAUUAAAAGAAAGAAGCAGUUUGAUGAGAACCCGGAUGACACAAAUAUUGCCACUCAGUCUGCGGAGGAAUCAUUUCGAGUCAACUAUUUUAUACCUCUUGUUGAUCAAGCAAUUUCCUCACUCAAUACCAGAUUUGAACAAUAUAAGGGCUACCAGAAAAUCUUUGGUUUCUUAUUUACCUCUGAAAAGUUACAGUCACUGGAUGAUGAUACCUUGAAAUCUUCUUGUGAGAAUCUCCAGGUUGCCCUUACAAAAGAUAAAAAAUCUGAUAUUGAUGCCAACGAUCUUUAUGUUGAGCUGAAGUUUCUUCGAGAAUUCAUUAAAGAAAAUAUGGGGCCAGUUGAAGUUCUGAAUUUUUUAAAGAGGCAUGAUUGUUUUCCCAACGCAAGUAUUGCAUAUAGAGUUUUAUUGACCAUUCCUGUGACUGUUGCAUCAGCUGAACGAAGCUUUUCUAAGUUGAAGUUAUUGAAGUCAUAUAUGCGUACUACGAUGACACAACAAAGACUCAAUGAUUUGGCGACAAUAUCACUUGAGAGUGAAAUAUUGGAGAAGAUUUCUUAUGAGGAUAUCAUUGAAGAUUUCAUUUCAAAAAAUCCCAAAAGAAUGAUGUUAUUCAAAUAAAUAUUAUGCAACCAGGAGUUGACUAGGUAUGAUUCUUAAUAUAUCCAAUUUUUAUGUAAACUAUUAUGACAUACGUAAUAUAUUUGCUGAAUAUUUUAAAUUUACUAGUACGAUAGGGCCCCGAUUUAGAAUUUCGCACAGGGCCCCGAAUUUUGCCCGCCCGGCCCUGCAAGUAGCCUGUAGCGAUACAGCUUUGUUGUAGGAACAGGUUGGAAGGCCAACUUGGGAAAGCCUUCCUUAUUUCUCACCCGGCAUUCCUAAAUCUCCUGGAACAGAUCAAAUAUGGGACAACCUCUCAGUCAAGACUAGAAAGAAUGGUAGCUAGCCUUGAAAUUACCUGCAACAACUGGUCGCCCUGUUCAGCUGAAAGUCCAGGACUGGCAAGUAAAACAGAACCAAGUUAGUGGCUCUUCUCCUGCCUGGAGAUAACUCCUACACCAAGUUAGUGGCUCGACCGUUCAACAUUCACUCUUCUGCUAAAAUUGCUCCAAUGUGAAUCUCCUUCUCAUCCUAGAUUUGCUGUUAAUUCAAUUGGGUGUUUCAGUGAUCAAGACCAUUAGCAAGUAACGUGAAGCAGUUAAAGGUAUACAUAUCCCUCUUUGACAUCUGAAAACUAUACUAAAUGUGUUCGAAUUUUUUUCAGGCGCUUAUGAAACUCUUCAUUGUCGAUGUCGUCUCCUUUGCUUCCCAGUUGAUCGCGUACUUUGUUAUAAUAGGAGUUAUAGUGGCAUUCUUUUAUUGCUGCCUGAAGCAACUCGGAGGGUGUUUAGAUGCAGAGCAUGAAACAGUUCAGGGCCAAUCUGCAAGUCACAGCGAAGCAGCA